UGGGGAAUUUUGGACAAUGGGCGCAAGCCUGAUCCAGCCAUGCCGCGUGCAGGAUGAAGGCCUUCGGGUUGUAAACUGCUUUUGUACGGAACGAAAAGGUGCCUUCUAAUAAAGGGCGCUCAUGACGGUACCGUAAGAAUAAGCACCGGCUAACUACGUGCCAGCAGCCGCGGUAAUACGUAGGGUGCGAGCGUUAAUCGGAAUUACUGGGCGUAAAGCGUGCGCAGGCGGUGUUGUAAGACAGAGGUGAAAUCCCCGGGCUCAACCUGGGAACUGCCUUUGUGACUGCAAGGCUGGAGUGCGGCAGAGGGGGAUGGAAUUCCGCGUGUAGCAGUGAAAUGCGUAGGUAUGCGGAGGAACACCGAUGGCGAAGGCAAUCCCCUGGGCCUGCACUGACGCUCAUGCACGAAAGCGUGGGGAGCAAACA
rnacentral:rRNA from 1 species